rfam:Eubacterium limosum KIST612, complete genome.
CUACUAAGCCAGAUAAUCGCGGGCAGCGCAGGCUGUCUGAGGAAAGUCCGAGCUCCGCAGAGCAGGGUGCCGGGUAACGCCCGGUGGAGGUGACUCCAAGGCAAGUGCAACAGAAAGUAAACCGCCGGCCUGGCCGGUAAGGAUGAAAGGGUGAGGUAAGAGCUCACCAGUGGCGAGAGUAAUCCGUCAGCUAUGUAAACCCCACCUGGUGCAAGACCAAGAACGGAUGUAAAAAAGGCGGCUGCUCGUCGCCGUCCAAAUGGUAGGUCGCUUGAAUCCAUUGGUAACAAUGAAUCUAGACAGAUGAUUAUCUAAGACAGAACUCGGCUUACAGACUUAGUAACAUG